rnacentral:lncRNA from 1 species
AUGUUCUUGACCUCAGGGAACACUGAAUACCUACAGAAAGAUCACUGUGCUUGUGGUACACAGAACCAGUCUCCAGAGACAUCAACGGACUUUCAUGGAUCCUCUGGUUUUAACCACAGAGAUUGUGGGCGGAAGGAAAUGUGCAAUGUUGCACGUUGUCAUACAUUAUUUCGCAUUAAAUGUUUUGGGGUAAGAAGAAUCUAUUCAACAAACAGCUUUCUAUUUAAACUUCAUCCACUUUUAGAGUCUUUGAAGCUACAAGCAAAAAAUUACAAGAGCAAUGGAUUUAGCUAAUUUAAUAUAAUACCUCUGUAAACUACCUAACAAACAUUCCACAUUGAAUUUUACAGGGUUUUAUGCACACUAUUUAUCUGAAAAAUGCAUUGUUGUAACUUAGUGAGGAAGCCCUAGAAUUCAUGAUCUGGAGAAUUAUCACACACACAGAAUUUCACACAGAAUUUCUAGGUUGGAAGAGACCUCAAGAUCAUCGAGUCCAACCUCUUCCCUGGGCAGCCUGUUCCAGUGUCUAACAACCCUUUCAGUAAAGAAGUUCUUCCUAACAUCUAACCUAAAACUCCCCUGGCGCAACUUAAGCCCAUUCCCCCUCGUCCUGUCACCAGGCACGUGGGAGAAUAGACCAACCCCCACCUCGCUACAGCCUCCUUUGAGGUAUCUGUAGAGAGCAAUAAGGUCGCCCCUGAGCCUCCUCUUCUCCAGGCUGAACAAGCCCAGCUCCUUCAGCUGCUCCUCGUAGGACUUGUUCUCCAGGCCCCUCACCAGCUUCGUCGCCCUUCUUUGGACCCGCUCAAGCACCUCGAUGUCCUUCUUGUAGCGAGGGUCCCAAAACUGAACACAGUACUCGAGGUGCAGCCUCACCAGAGCCGAGUACAGGGGGACGAUCACCUCCCUAGCCCUGCUGGUCACAGUGUUUCUGAUACAAGCCAGGAUGCCGUUGGCCUUCUUGGCCAUCUGAGCACACUGCUGGCUCAUAUUCAGCCGACUGUCCACCAUCACUCCCAGGUCCUUCUCUGCCUGGCAGCUCUCCAACCACUCAUCUCCCAGCCUGUAGCUCUGCUUGGGGUUAUUGUGCCCCGGGUGCAGGACCCGGCACUUGGCCUUGUUGAACUUCAGUUGAAUUAUUAUUAGUUGAAUUAUUAUUAUUGUUAAUUAUUAUUUUUAAAGAUGUCCAAGAUACUUGUUUGAGAAACUUGGACUAAGUGAACUUUUAUUUCCCCAAAUCUUUCUUUGAAGAUUUGGGAUCUUUUUUAUUAAAAAAUCUGCCUGCAUCCAAUACACAAGAUACAAAAUACUAUUAUUUAAUAUCCUGUGUACCUUAUUGAUUUCCUGUGUAGCACCAACUUAAAUCCUGUGGUGCUUUUAUAUUCUGUAAUUGUAAUGAUCACCUUAUAAGUUGUAUACAGCCAAUAUUUCUGUCAGGUACUUUUUACUUAUUUCUGAGUUGCUGUUGUAUCUACUAACAUGAGAACAGCAAGUGUUUAAGAAUAAAUAUUACAAAGGAAAUGUUUUUAGUAGUUCA